rnacentral:rRNA from 1 species
CUACGGGACGCUCCAGUGAGGAAUAUUGCACAAUGGGGGGAACCCUGAUGCAGCAACGCCGCGUGGAGGAUGACGCAUUUCGGUGUGUAAACUCCUUUUAUAUGUCAAGAAAAUGACGGUAGCAUAAGAAUAAGCACCGGCUAACUCCGUGCCAGGACAGCCGCGGUAAUACGGAGGGUGCAAGCGUUACUCGGAAUCACUGGGCGUAAAGGAGCGUAGGCGGGUUGGAAAGUCAGGUGUGAAAUCCUACAGCUUAACUGUAGAACUGCACUUGAAACUUCUAAUCUAGAGUAUGGGAGGGGGAGAUGGAAUUAGUGGUGUAGGGGUAAAAUCCGUAGAUAUCACUAGGAAUACCUAAAGCGAAGGCGAUCUCCUGGAACAUUACUGACGCUAAGGCGUGAAAGCGUGGGGAGCAAACAGGAUUAGAUACCCGCGUAGUC